CAGUCGCCGCGGGAAUACAGAGGGUGCGAGCGUUAAUCGGAUUUACUGGGCGUAAAGCGUGCGUAGGCGGCUUUUUAAGUCGGAUGUGAAAUCCCUGAGCUUAACUUAGGAAUUGCAUUCGAUACUGGGAAGCUAGAGUAUGGGAGAGGAUGGUAGAAUUCCAGGUGUAGCGGUGAAGUGUGUAGAGAUCUGGAGGAAUACCGAUGGCGAAGGCAGCCAUCUGGCCUAAUACUGACGCUGAGGUACGAAAGCAUGGGGAGCAAACAGGAUUAGAUACCCGCGUAGUCCCUGUCUCUUAUAC
rnacentral:rRNA from 1 species